GCGCGGGAAAGCUCAGUUAGCAGGGAAUGAGACUCUUCAUCUCAGGGUCGUGAGUUCGAGCCCCGCGCUGGGCA